rnacentral:antisense_RNA from 1 species
GGCUUUUUUUUCCUUGCCUUUUUUCCCCCUCUCCCACCCCCUUCUCUCUGCUGCUCCCCGCGACCUGCGAUUUCCUGGGGGUCCGGAACUCUGGACCCAAGGCACCGGUCACCCCCUCAGGACGGCUCCUAGCUCAUCUGAGAAGCCCCUGUGCCCAUGUCCACCCAUAAGCAGAUGGCCUCCCCCCAACCAUGAGGAUUUUUUAAUGGGGUGAAAAUGCCAGUCCCCGAAGCCAGGGUUCUCGGACCCCCAGGGCCGAGCUGGGCGCGGGAGCCCCGCAGGGGCGGGGAGGCCGACCGAGCUUGAAGAAGUGUAGGAGAGAUCUACACAACUUAAGUGGGGCGUCCCCAUCCCAUCUUCCUGCGCACCCUCCUUUGCCCCCAACUCCAUCUCUGCGACACUUCCCCACCCCCACUCCCCCCAAAAAGUCGCUCCCGGGCUCUCUCUGCAGAGAGCCAGGGUGAGAGCGGGCAAGGCAAAAGAGCGACCUCGGUCGUGGGCAAGUAGCUUGUUUUUACGUCCCUCAAUAAAAUUUUUAUGAGGAUCA